CCGAAUCGAGCUUUAAUAUCUGUUAUCAAACUCUUGAUGGGAAUUGAGGGGUUUGUCCUUACAAAAUUUGAUAUGAUUGUUGCAAUGUGAGUACUAUCAAGAUUUGUAUGAUCUUGAGAUAGUAUGUUAGAGAAACAAGUAUGUUGGCCGUCGAUGUUUUUGAUUUCCCAAUAUUUACGCACUUUGCUAUAGCCUGCCCU
rnacentral:lncRNA from 1 species